UUUCCGGAGUCUUUUCGCCUAAAGCGUAAGCCAUGGCGUUCUGACCGGCACAUUGUGCAAAGGGUUUUGUCGGAAACGGCAGGGCCUUCCGUGUUUGAGAAGGAAGUCC
rnacentral:ncRNA from 1 species